rnacentral:rRNA from 1 species
GCCAGAGCCAUAUCACCCUGCAGCUCUCGUCUGGUUUCCUACUGAAGUUAAGCAGGGUUGAGCCUGGCCAGCACUUGGAUGCGAGACCUCCUGGGGAAAACUAAGGUUGCUGAUGGAA